rnacentral:rRNA from 2 species
UACGUAGGUGGCGAGCGUUAUCCGGAAUGAUUGGGCGUAAAGGGUGCGUAGGCGGCCUGCUAAGUCUGGAGUGAAAGGUACCGGCUCAACCGGUACAGGCUCUGGAAACUGGGAGACUUGAGUGCAGAAGAGGAGAGUGGAACUCCAUGUGUAGCGGUGAAAUGCGUAGAUAUAUGGAAGAACACCAGUGGCGAAAGCGGCUCUCUGGUCUGUAACUGACGCUGAGGUUCGAAAGCGUGGGUAGCAAACAGG